UACGUAGGGCGCAAGCGUUGUCCGGAAUUAUUGGGCGUAAAGAGCUCGUAGGCGGUCUGUCACGUCGGAUGUGAAAGCCCGGGGCUUAACCCCGGGUCUGCAUUCGAUACGGGCAGACUAGAGUGUGGUAGGGGAGAUCGGAAUUCCUGGUGUAGCGGUGAAAUGCGCAGAUAUCAGGAAGAACACCCGUGGCGAAGGCGGCUCUCUGGGACGGUACUGACGCUGAGACGCGAAAGCGUGGGGAGCGAACAGG
rnacentral:rRNA from 1 species